UACCUGAGAGAGUGCUAUUACCGCUUAA
rnacentral:sRNA from 1 species